UGCAUCUUCCGCGGCCCCAUCGACUGUCUCUCAAAGGUAGUCCUGGCUCUGGAGCUCUACAUCUCUGGCAGAGGCAGAAAUCUCAGAGACAAAUAUGAACCAACACUAUCUACAUGGCCAAAAACCUUCAAGGUUUCAAAACAAUUUCACUGCGUCUCAUCAGGAACUUUUAUUGUGGUAUAACCAGAAGAAUCCAACACAUCCAUGGUGUCAACAUUUUCCCCUGUACAUAAUGCUACCCUGUACUGCCUCGAUACCCCAGCAUCCCAUCAUCAUCACAGCUGUGCUUGGAAUAAAAUACAAACAGCACUUCUCUAUUUAGUGCUCCUUUUAUUCUGGUAACCAUCCUAAUGACAAGAUGCAAGUGAGUAAGCGGCGUUAACAAGUGUGAGCCGCUGGUGUGGUGCUUUGUUCAGAAACAGUAUAAGGCAGGUGAAGGGUGUGGGGAGGAGGUUAGACCCAGCUGACUGAUGCCCUUUCGUUAUUGCACUGCUUGCUGUAGCUCCCUCAGUAGUGCAACAUGUAAAGAGUGUCAGGCAGUGAGCGUCCUGUAGCUGUCGCCUGAAGCGAAAAAGUGCAACCUGAAGAGCAGGUUCCCUCUUCAACUUGCCUGUGAGCAAAAGUCCUUUGAAUAUUCAAGACUAGUCAGUGUUAGGUGAAUCUGAGGAUAGACAAAUCACUGGGUUACAUUUGGAUUAAUCUAUGGUUUAAAGGGGAAAACAACUAAUAAAUUAGAAAGAAAAUCUGUCAUAAACAUAGAAUAAUGAGGUUUUAUGUUUUUGUUCUGUGGCUUUUGCAUUUUGUGCAA